rnacentral:lncRNA from 1 species
AGCGCUACCCAUUCGACCCAAUCUCUGUCGCGCCUCAACCCACCCCAAAACUCGCCAAACAUAGGCAAUUCACUCGCACAUGGGCCCCAUCUCUCCACGUCACUCCAAUCCUAACGGAUUUCUAACAAACAAGAAGAUUCCUUCUGGAUUUUCACAUGUUCUUUAGCCUCUUGAGCGAUUUGUUGGAUGAAUGGGAGUCGUGGAUGGAUGGAAAUCAAUCUAUGCCCUCCAUUUGUCCCUAAAAUCAUUCACAAAGAGAUUGAAAGGAAUUUUCGGAUUUUUGGCAGAAGGUUCGAGAAUUUUUGAGUUUAUAUAAGUUAAGGAUUUUCAUGUUCGAAGGUCUUGAGAGAAAUUUUCGGAGAGAAAAUUAAGAGAGAGAAAAAUUAGGGUUCUAAAAAUAUUCUUCUUCUUUUCUAUUGUUGUUCUUCAUUUUUAGUCCCAAAAUAGAAAAAUAAAAGAAAUAUUGUUAAAUGUUCUACGCUUCCAUUUUUAUGUCGAUUAUUGGCUAAAAAUUUUGAAAUCUAUAAAUUUUGUCUUUUCAUUUCAAUCUGGAAUUUGUUAAAACAGAAUUUGAUUGAGAAGUUUGAGUCGGUUGCUGCUCGAUGCGUUGAUUUCCAGUCGAUGUUGUUUUUUGUUCAAUUUCAGUUCUGGGCUAGUUCAGUUCUCGAUUUCAGGUGCUUUGACUGACUCCUCCUCUUAUUUUAUUCUUUGGUGUUAUUAAAGUAUGAAGAGAGCCUAGGAUAAACAAUUAGGAUUCAUUUAAAUUUCUAAAAUGUUUAAGUUUGAGCGCUAAUAAAAGCAAAUUGUUGGUUUUGGAUUAACGAUGAGUCUGGAUGAAUUCUCUAUGGUGUGCAAAUCUGUUCUGUUUUUUUUUGUUGUUUUUGAGCACAAAUUUCAUACAAUCUCAAAUCUGCCUGAUUUCGACAGGUUUGAUUGAAGUUAAAAUUUGUUUGUGAUUGUAUGGUUUACGGGAGUAUGCCAUGUUACUGCUGAAAAGGGUUCGACUAGUUCCUUUGUUGUUUUGCAAAGUUUUCCUGUUAGUAUUGUUUGAUUUGUAUUGGUGUGAGCAGCAUAUGCAUAUAUUUAGGCUUAAAUGAAUCAAAUCCAUGCUAUUUCGCUGCUGUAAGUUCGUUCUUGCUUGCAGAAAUUUGAACAUCAAUUCAUGUUGGCUUGGUAACUUAGUGUCCAAGCUAUGAAUGUGUAAAACAAUUGGUGUUGGAGUUCAUGUGUCAAAAGCCAGAAUGAGUGUGAACAUUAAAUGCUUGAUCCUAUGUGCCUG